AAAAUUCUUCGAACUUGUUUCCGGUUUUUCGUUAUUUUAUGUUUAAGUGCAGAAAGGUAAAUUGCGGAAAGUAAAAAGACACCGGAAAUUAUAGUGGUUCCCUUCACAAUCCGAAGGUACAUCCACUCCCCUUUCGACACGAAAGAGAUUUCACUAUAGUUUAGAAUUAUGGUACAGCCUAUUCACACCAACGGUGAUGCCUACUGUCUAACCUAUAGGUAAACAAGUGUAUGAAGAACAAUCCUCUUCAACACCAACCCUUGUGUCCAACAAUCCUGGAUCACAAGUCAAACAGAAAUAAAUCUUUUUGAUGAUUUUAACAAAGUGUAGUAUUAUCAAUCUUCUCUUGAUUGAUCUUCUCCUUAGAUAAAUAAUUCACUCAAUGAAAAAUAUACAAGUGUUCAACAACAAUGGAAUGAGAUGAAAAUUUGAUUAUGAACACUUUUAAAAAUAUUGAAGGAAAUAUGAAAGAGUGAUUAUUUUAAGUUUGUAUGAAAAUUCUUGGAGGUGAAAAUUCAUUUUGAAAAUUCAAGAAUUUAUAUUGCCAAAACACCUUUUCAAAGAGGUAUAAAUUUUUCAUAAAAAAUGAUGAAAAGGUACAAGUUUCUGAAAAUUAUUUUUCACUGAAACGAACAGUGUUAACCGGUUAACCAAAUGGGUUAACCGGUUAACGCGUAUAACGUUAACAAAGAAUUUCAAAAAACUGGGCCGUUAACCGGUUAACCCAUAUGGUUAACCGGUUAACACUGUUGAAAUGCAGAAAAAUACUUUAAGAAAAAUGUGUCUUUCAUUUCAACAUGUUAACAAAUGGUUAUGUUAAAAAUGCAAAUGCAGAUCAUGAUUGUUGAACACUUGUAUACUAAUCUAAGAGUGAAUUAGAUAUACCUUAGAAGUGAAUCAACAAUCUUGCAAACGGUUGACUUGAAAAAGAAGCUUGAUCAAAAUGUUUCUCAUGCAUAUGUGGCUUGAUUACUUUGAUGCUUGAAUUAUCUUUGAAGCUCUUCUCUUUUUGCAUUGAUACAUGUUGUCUUCAUCAAAAUACUUUUUGGAUUGAAGCUUGCUUCUACAAUCUCCCCCUUUUUGAUGAUGACAACCAACUUUGAGAUAGAUGCUUGAAAGUGAAGUUUCUCUAAUUUGAUUCUCCCCCUAAGUUUAAGAACUCCCCCUAAAUGAGAGGCAUACAAAAUUCUGCAUAGAGAAACCAUUAGAGAAACAAGUCUUCUCCCCCUUUGGCAUUAGCAAAAAGGAAGAAACUUAUGAAAAAGAAAAGUAGACAAGCAUACACACAUUAUGUGAUCAUUAGAUAAGCAUUCAAGCACAUAAUGACGACAAAAUUAAAAAAAAGUGUACGGUAAACAUAAUCAGCAUAAUCAUAAUCUAUAACUAAAAACAGAACAACACAUAACAAGAACAUAGAUAAAACAUAAUGCUUUAAUCUUCUUCCGAACUGUCCUCAUUCUCCUCGCCUUCCGCUUCACUACCGGCUUCACCUUCAUCAUCUUCCAUGGGAAGGUUGCGAGAACUUAACACAAGGUUUCGAAGGCUUUUGAUAGCGCGGGUGGUUUCACGGUGUUGGCUCAUCAUGGUGGUAUAGAGAAACUCAUUUGUAAUGCCACCCUCCGGAAUAGGAAAGUUUGAAGAAGAAGACCCGUCAUCAUACUUGUAAGAUCCGUCAUUGCAUUGAAUAAUCCCGAUAUUCUUCAUAAUAGUAACACCGUUGAUCUCAUUGGUGGUAGGGGUCAUAGCCAGAAACGGUUCUCUCCCGAUUUCCAUGUCUGUUAAUUCCAAAAUUCUUGAGAUAAGACGACCAUAGGGCAGCCUUGUUUUGAGAGAUAGUUGUUGUUUGAGAUGAUACAUCAUAGUAGGUAGCCAAUUAAUUCUGAUUUUGUUCUUCAUAGCAAAGAGAACCUGCAUCUCCAAAUCAUUGAUUUGGGAAAGGUUUGAAUCCUUUGGCAGCAAGACAUGGCAAAUAACAUAAUGUAGCAUUCGAUCAUCAGCAGACAAGUUCUUAGCAUAACAGAGUAUGCGAGAAGUGCGAUGUCCCGACACAACAGCAUCCCUUGGAAAUCGACAGAUUGAGUAGUAAUAUUCCAUUUUAUCAUAUUGAGCCCAUUUUCCAUCAACAUGAUUAACACCUUUCCGAAGAAAAAAUCCUGCAUAGGGAAUCCUAAGAGACGCAGCCAGCGACCUUAGGUCUGUUACAAUUUCACAAUCUCUCACAGUGGCAGACAGCAUAUGUUGAUCAUCAUCAUUCAGAUUCAAGGUGAAAUGGUUCAGAAAAGAUUUUACCAAAUCAGUAUAAAUUUUGCCAUUAUCAGUUAUAAAUGCAUGCAACCCUUGAUAUCUCAACAGCUCAGGGAAAGUGAAAGUAGUAGAGGUGAAGGAUUUGAGAUUCACAUACUUACCCUUAAGCAGAUGUCUAACCCUGACUUUGAAAUCCAUUCUCCUUUUCUUGGCUGUUUCCAUUUUCAACUCUUCCUCUUCACUGCUAGAUGAUGAUACAGGAGCCUUUCCCAUUCUUGGAGGAGCCAUGAAGAAGAUGGAGAUUCUAGGGUAUUGAGAGGGAUUUUCGGAAUAGGAUUUUGAGAGUUAGUAAGUGGGUAUGGUUGAGUGGGGUUUAAUGGAGCUUUAAAGAUACUCAAGAAUAUUGAAAGUUGAAAAAGUGAGAUGAAGGGUUUAUGGUGAGUAAAUGUGGGAAGAGAGAGUUAUGAGGUGUAGGUGAAGAGUAAAGCACAUGCACCAAACAUAAAACACAUAUACCAAAAUUUAAAGUUAAAAAAAAUAAAAUUAAAAAUUCUGUAUUCAUAACGUUAACGCAGAAGUGCUGUUUUGGAGGUGUUAACCGGUUAACCUAUACCGUUAACCGGUUAACGGUCUGAAAAUUUUCAAAAAUAAUAAAAAAACAGCAGCUCUGUUUUGAAAAAUUGGGAAAAGAUUUUUACAAAAAAUUUUCACAAAGUAUUAGCACUUAUCAAUACGCAACUUUCGAUUUAAAAAAAAUUUAAAACCGAUAAUUUUUGGACAUGCGAAAGUGAGAAAAACUAAAAACGGCGAAAAAGAAGUGCUAGCAUUGCAUAACAUAAAAAUUGAAAAUAAACAAAUUUUUAGCAACUAUACCACAUAACAAGUAAUUUUAAGACACGGUUAGAUGUCACCUUCAUUGAGAAUACCAAGUUCUCGCCGAAUCUUGAAGAAUUGCUCUUUAGCCAAUGGUUUUGUGAAUAUGUCAGCGAGUUGGUUAUGUGUAUCCACGAACGUAACAUCUACAUCUCCGUUAAGCACGUGAUCUCGAAGGAAAUGAUGUCGGAUAUCUAUGUGCUUCGUCCUUGAAUGCAUGACCGGGUUCUUUGUGAUGUUGAUGGCACUUGUGUUAUCGCAUCGAAGAGGAAUGCAGCCGAGGUCUACACCAAAAUCCAGAAGUUGUUGCUUAAGCCAUAAAAUUUGUGCACAACAACUGCCUGCUGCAAUGUACUCUGCUUCGGCCGUGCUAAGUGCGACACAUGCUUGCUUCUUGCAUGCCCACGACACUAGUGCAUUCCCGAGAAUGUGACACGUACCACUUGUGCUUUUUCUAUCGGUCUUACAUCCUGCAUAGUCAGCGUCAGAAUAACCAAUCAAGGAGCAUAUACUACCUUUUGGAUACCAUAGUCCGACGUUCGUUGUUCCUUUGAGAUAUUUCAUAAUCCUCUUCACGGCGGUGAGAUGCGAUUCCUUCGGGUUUGCUUGAAAGCGUGCACACAAACAUACACUAAACAUAAUGUCAGGACGGCUUGCCGUCAAAUAUAGUAAUGAACCAAUCAUACCUCGAUAUUUUGUAAUAUCUAUUGACAUUCCGGAUUCAUCUUGAUCAACGUACGUUCCGGAUCCCAUAGGAGUGGACAUCACUUUGCAACUAUCCAUAUCGAAUCUUUUCAACAAUUCCUUGCAAUACUUGGAUUGGUUGAUGAAGAUGCCAUCCUUGGUUUGCUUGAUUUGUAGUCCAAGAAAAUAGUUCAAUUUUCCCAUCAUGGACAUCUCGAAUUCUCCUUGCAUCAUGAUUGAAAACUCUUCGCAAAGAUCUUUAUUUGUUGAACCGAAGAUGAUGUCGUCGACAUAGACUUGAGCCAAUAAGGUGUUACCCUUGAUCUUCUUUAUGAACAAAGUCUUGUCAACCUUUCCUUUUACAAAUCCCUUUUCACAUAGAAAGUUGCUGAGGCGGUCAUACCACGCUCUUGGUGCUUGCUUUAAGCCAUAUAGUGCUUUCUUCAACUUGUAAACAUGUGAGGGAUUCUUGAAGUCUUCAAAACCCGGAGGUUGUUUGACGUAGACUUCUUCAUUGAUAUAGCCAUUUAGGAAAGCGCUUUUGACAUCCAUCUGAAACAAUUGAAAAUUCAUAGAACAAGCAUAAGCAAGUAAUAAUCGAAUUGCUUCUAACCUUGCUACCGGAGCGAACGUCUCAUCAAAAUCAAUUCCUUCCUGUUGGUUGUAUCCUUGUGCGACCAAUCUUGCUUUGUUACGAACUAUGAUCCCAUUCUCAUCAAGUUUGUUCUUGAAGACCCAUCUUGUUCCUAUGAUGUGCUUGUUGUCCGGUCUUGGUACAAGACUCCAAACUUGAUUUCUUUCGAAUUGGUUGAGUUCUUCUUGCAUUGCUACUAUCCAUUGAUCGUCGCCUAAGGCUUCAUCGACUUUGGUUGGUUCUAUUUGAGACACAAAAGCCAUGUUGAGACAAGCAUCUUUGAGAUUUAGUCGUGUUGCAACGCCUUGGCUAAUAUCACCAAUAACUUUAUCGAUGGGGUGAUCUCUAUGAGUUUUCCAUUCUUUCGGUAGAUCAUGAUGUUCUUCAAUGAUUGGUGAGCCAUCUCCUUGUGGAAUUGAUUGAACAUUUGAAAGUUCCUUUUGUGACACAUCUAUUAUAUCAUCAUCGUCAUCAACAACAAAGUUAUCCUCUUUCGAGGGGUUAGUUUCAUCAAAACAUACAUGCGUUGAUUCUUCAAUAGUAAGAGUUCUUUUAUUGAAAAUUCUAAAUGCCUUACUAGAUAGGGAGUAGCCAAGGAAGAUACCUUCGUCGGAUUUCUCAUCAAACUUACCAAGGUUGUCCUUUCCAUUGUUGAGGACAAAACAUUUGCACCCAAAGAUGUGAAAGAAAGAUAUAUUAGGCUUCCUUCCUUUGAAAAGCUCAUACGGAGUCUUUUUGAGAAUCGGCCGAAUGUUGACACGGUUGCUAACAAAGCAUGCUGUGCUAACUGCGUCCGCCCAAAAAUAUUUAGGAAGGUUGGAGUCACUGAGCAUUGUUCUUGCGAGUUCCACCAAGGAUCUAUUCUUUCUCUCUACGACACCGUUUUGUUGUGGUGUUCGUGGUGCGGAGAAGUUGUGGGAAAUUCCGUGUUUUUCGCAAAAUUCUUCAAAGAAUGUGUUUUGAAAUUCUCCCCCGUGGUCACUUCUAAUGGAGGUUAUUGAAAGAGACUUCUCAUUCUGAAUUUGUUUUGCAUAUUUUUUGAAAGCCUUGAAAGCAUCGCUUUUCUGCACAAGAAACAAAGUCCACGUAUAUCUAGAGAAGUCAUCAACAAUUACCAAACCGUAAACAUUACCUCCGAAACUUUUCGUUCUUGAUGGACCGAAGAGAUCCAUGUGCAAGAGUUGAAGUGGCCUCGACGAAGAUACAACAUUCUUGGAUUUGAAAGUUGUCUUGGUUUGCUUUCCCUUUUGGCAUGCGUCACAUAGCUUAUCCUUGAUGAACUUAAUCUUUGGAAGACCAACGACAAGAUCAUGCUUUAUUAAUUUGUUCAUGUGCUCCAUGUGUAUAUGAGCGAAUCUUUUAUGCCAUAGCCAAGCCUCGUUGUUGUUCGUCAUUAGGCAUUUUACCUUCAAGGAAGAAUCAUCAAAAGAAGUCAUAAAAAUAUUAUUAACCCUUUUACCUUUUAGCAAAAUGUCAUGGGUGACUUCAUGCUCUAUCACACAUUCAUCUUUUGUGAAAUUGAUCCGGAACCCUUUGUCACACAAUUGACUUAUGCUAAGUAAAUUGUGCUUUAAGCCUUCAACAUAAAGGACAUCUUCGAUGAUGGUAAAAGGAGGUGCUCCAAUGGUUCCUACUCCAAGGAUCUUCCCUUUGGUGUCAUCACCGUAUGUAACAUAUCCUUUGGCCUUUAAAGAUAGAUGUGAAAAUUUGUCGAUGUCGCCCGUCAUAUGCUUUGAACAACCGCUAUCAAGAUACCAUUGAUUCGAGGUUGUCUUCAAGCAUACCUACAAAACAAAAUCAAGUUUUGUUAGGUACCCAAAUUGCUUUGGGUCCUUGGUAGUUAGUACCCUUUUUAACCCACACAUAAUGCCCUUUUGGAACGCUAAAGUUUCGCACAUAACAAGCAUUAGGUGUGUGCCCUUUGAUUCCACAAUAAAAGCAAGUAGGUUGAAAAUCACUUCUAUAUCUAGGAACAUAAUUCUUCUUCUUAGCAAUCAUUUUCUUUUUAUGACUUUGAUGCAUAAUUUUAGAAUUGUUUACUUUCUCUUUUGCAACUUGUUCACUUGCUUUAACAAAAAUGGUCUUAUUUGUGCUUGGUUUAGAAAACUUAGAAUAUCCUAAUCCACUUUUGUCAUUAGAAUACCUUUGGUGUUUAAGAAUUUCUUCCAACCCAAUUUGACCUUUUUCAUAUCUUUCUAAAACUCUUUUAAGUUGAACAAUUUGAAAAGAUAAAGAUUCACAAUUCUUACAUGCAAGACUUUGUUUUUCAUCCAUCAACUUUUGUUUUCCACUUUCAAUAUAUUUUUCCAAAGCAGUAUUUUUUUCUUCUAAGGAUGAAAUUUGUUUCUUUUGGGAUGAAAUACUUUUAUACAAUGUCUUGCAUUCUUUUAAGAGUUCAUUUAUAACAUCUUGUGCGUCAUUGUCAUAAACUGAAAAAUUGCUACUAACCUCAUCGAUUUCUUCAUCGGAGUGAUGUGAAGCCAUAAGAGCCAUGUUCGCACAUUCAUCGCUUUCCGAUUCCGAAGAUGAACUGAUCUCAUUAUCGUCCCAAGCGACGUAAGCCUUUUUGUUUUUGAAUUCCUUCUUUCCUUUGAAUCCUCCUUUCUUUGCAAGUUUUGGGCAAUCCGGCUUUAUGUGACCUUGCUGUCCACAUUCAUAACACGUGACGUCUUGCAUUGAUGUGGAUGCUUCCUUUUUCCUGAAAUGGUUAUUCUUUUUAGGAUAAGAGGAAUUUUUAUUUUUAUUAAAAAACUUACCAAGCUUCUUUACAAGAAGCAUAAAGUUCUAUCUUCGAACGUCUCAUCAUCUUUGUCCUUUUUUGAAUCAACCUUCAAGGCAAUUCCCUUGGACUUCUUUUCUUGACUUUCGUGCUUCUCGAGCCUUCCAAGUUCCAAUCCGUGUUCAUGAAGUUUUCCAAAUAGAGACACGGAUGUCAUCGUUGAGAGGCUCUUCUUUUCCGAAAUAGCGGUCACUUUCGGUUGCCAUUCUCUUGUCAAAGAUCUUAGGACUUUCAGGUUGAGAUCAUCAUUAGUGAAAGUUUUUCCAAGAGCAAUCAAGUGAUUUGUUAGAUGGACGAAUCUCUUUUGUAAGGCAACUAUAGAUUCACCGGGCUGCAUGCGGAACAUCUCAUAUUCUUGACUUAAAGUGUUUAGCCUCGAUCUCUUCACUUCGGUGGUUCCUUCAUGUGUUUCAACCAAGGUGUCCCAAAUCUCCUUUGCCGAUUUACAUUGAGAUAUACGGAAGAACUCGUCCAUACUAAGAGCGCUUUGGAGUAUGUUGAUUGCCUUUUUCUCAUUCAGAAUCUUUUUCCUAUCAUCUUCGUCAUAAGUGUUUUUCAACUUUGCGGUACCAACUCCAUUCACCACAUUCACCGGUUUGUGUGGACCUUCUUCAACUGCUUCCCAUAUACCUUCCCCUUGGGCCUCAAGAUGUGCCUUCAUUCUGAUUUUCCAGAAAUCGAAAUAUUCUCCAGAGAAGAGUGGGGGCUUGUUGCUACUUCCACCGUCUUUGAAAACCGGAUUUAUCCUUGCGGAAGCCAUGCUGGAUCUCUAGGAACAAGUUACCUAUAACUUGCUCUGAUGCCAAUUGUAAGUUGUAAAUGCGCCUAAGAGGGGGGGUGAAUUAGGUGGUUAAAAAUUCUUCGAACUUGUUUCCGGUUUUUCGUUAUUUUAUGUUUAAGUGCAGAAAGGUAAAUUGCGGAAAGUAAAAAGACACCGGAAAUUAUAGUGGUUCCCUUCACAAUCCGAAGGUACAUCCACUCCCCUUUCGACACGAAAGAGAUUUCACUAUAGUUUAGAAUUAUGGUACAGCCUAUUCACACCAACGGUGAUGCCUAC
rnacentral:lncRNA from 1 species